rnacentral:lncRNA from 1 species
UUUAUAGGAAAGAUGAGAGGACCAUGGCUAAGGGAUCCUGACACUCUGGGCCCAGAAUAACUCAGCCCUUCCCCCUUUCCCAUUGUCAGUCCAUCUAUCAUCCUAUUCUGUCUUCCUCCACCUUCAGUAAGCACCUCCUGGAACCUAUGUCAGCCUGGGCUCUGGGCUGACUGUGAUUAACUGAGCAGAUACACGCACAAAGCUGGUCACUCUUGCGGGGCUCCGAGAAGCAGCUGCAGUAAUUACAGGGAAUUUCUGGAAUGGAGACUAAUGGUGCAGGUUCAGAUCUAAAACGCUUUUGAUCCUCUUCAUCAUUAAAAGGCCAUUAAAGGCCCCAUGUGAGGACAAGAUUAAACUGUUCUUAUUGGUUUAG